rnacentral:tRNA from 1 species
UCCCUGGCAGUCCAGUGGUUAGGACUCCAUGAUCUCACUGCUGAGGGCCCAGGUUCAAACCCUGGUUAGGGAA